AUCAACGGCCAUAUCAUGUUGAAUACACCAGUUCUCAUCUAAUCAUUUAAGUUAAGCAAUGUUGAGCCUAGUUAGUACUUUGAUGAAUAACCACUUGGGAAACCUAGGUGCUGUAAACA
rnacentral:rRNA from 1 species